AGAAGUUUGACUGUGACCUCUGUCACCCCAUUGAUCACCAGGGUUGAUUAGACUGAUCUGGCUGGCUAGGCAGGUGUCCCCUUUCUCCCUUACCACUCAAUGUGCAUCUUUCCCAAAGCUGCACGCUCGAUGGAAGAGGACAACGCCCCAGGUAUAGGAGUGUACCGAGGUCUCCUCUGCUAGAACCUGCUCCAAACGGGCUCAAGAAGGCUAAAGUGUCACUGUCUCAGCCACUUUUGUGGACAAUUUCGGAGUAUUCAGAUUUUGAGAUUUUGGAUAUUCAAGCUGAAUUAUAUAUUAGU
rnacentral:snRNA from 1 species